GAUGUACGCUGGCGGCGUGCCUAAUACAUGCAAGUCGAGCGAACGGACGAGAAGCUUGCUUUUCUGAUGUUAGCGGCGGACGGGUGAGUAACACGUGGAUAACCUACCUAUAAGACUGGGAUAACUUCGGGAAACCGGAGCUAAUACCGGAUAAUAUUUUGAACCGCAUGGUUCAAAAGUGAAAGACGGUCUUGCUGUCACUUAUAGAUGGAUCCGCGCUGCAUUAGCUAGUUGGUAAGGUAACGGCUUACCAAGGCAACGAUGCAUAGCCGACCUGAGAGGGUGAUCGGCCACACUGGAACUGAGACACGGUCCAGACUCCUACGGGAGGCAGCAGUAGGGAAUCUUCCGCAAUGGGCGAAAUCCUGACGGAGCAACGCCGCGUGAGUGAUGAAGGUCUUCGGAUCGUAAAACUCUGUUAUUAGGGAAGAACAUAUGUGUAAGUAACUGUGCACAUCUUGACGGUACCUAAUCAGAAAGCCACGGCUAACUACGUG
rnacentral:rRNA from 1 species